GACGAACGCUGGCGGCGUGCUUAACACAUGCCAGUCGAACGGAAAGGCCUGUCCUUCCUUGUGUUGGACGGGUACUCGAGUGGCGAACGGGUGAGUAACACGUGAGUGAUCUGCCCCCAACUUGGGUAUAAGCCUGGGAAACUGGGUCUAAUUCCCGAUAGGACUGCAGGGUGGUGCCUGUGGUGGAAAACGAUUUUCUAGUGGUUGGGGAUGAGCUCGCGGCCUAUCAGCUUGUUGGUGGGGUGAUGGCCUACCAAGGCGGCGACGGGUAGCCGGCCUGAGAGGGUGGACGGCCACAUUGGGACUGAGAUACGGCCCAGACUCCUACGGGAGGCAGCAGUGGGGAAUAUUGCACAAUGGGCGGAAGCCUGAUGCAGCGACGCCGCGUGGGGGAUGACGGCCUUCGGGUUGUAAACUCCUUUCGACCGCGAGGAAGCCGCCUGGUUGGAAGGGUGGUGACGGUAGUGGUAGAAGAAGCACCGGCUAACUACGUG
rnacentral:rRNA from 1 species